rnacentral:rRNA from 1 species
UACGUAGGGGGCUAGCGUUGUCCGGAUUCAUUGGGCGUAAAGGGUGUGUAGGUGGCGCCGUAAGUCGGGUGUGAAAUUUCGGAGCUUAACUCCGAAACUGCAUUCGAUACUGCGGUGCUUGAGGACUGGAGAGGAGACUGGAAUUCCUGGUGUAGCGGUGAAAUGCGCAGAUAUCAGGAGGAACACCGGUGGCGAAGGCGGGUCUCUGGGCCGAUACUGACGCUGAGGAGCGAAAGCGUGGGAG